GCCGGAAUUGCUGUAAUGGCAGGUCAGCAUACUGCCGUGAAUACGUUCCCGGGCCUUGUACACACCGCCCGUCACACCAUGAGAGUUGGGAAUACCCGAAGCCUGUGAGCUAACUUAUAGAGGCAGCAGUCGAAGGUAGAAUCAAUGAUUGGGGUGAAGUCGUAACAAGGUAUC
rnacentral:rRNA from 1 species